rnacentral:lncRNA from 1 species
CCCGGACAAGCUUCUUCCUAGCUGUAGAGCCACCUUCAUUUCAAACAAUUCCCCAUUCUCUCUUCUCCCCACAUCUCUUUCAUUCAGAUUUGACUCUAUGCUCUCUUCCAUCAGCCGGAAGAAGCCUGCGUUGCCUCUAUACAUCUCAAACACCAUGCCCACUUGCCAGCCAUGCUCCAUUGUGUUCACCACGCUUGCCAUGGCUCCAGCUACGACUCCUAGUGUCGCGGCCCAGGGACCAUGAGAAGAUCCCACGAACGCAGUUCCACAAGCCGAUAAGCCUGUCAAUAAGGGGCCAGAAAUGGCGAGUAUCUUGUUAACUUUCAAGGCUAUUUUGCCCAGCCUCAAAUAGUCUUCAGUGUCCUUCCUCUUCAAAACCCCAACAACUUCUCUCAUUUCUUCCUCCAACUCCACACUCCAACCAUUUCCAUCUGUUCUCCCACUAUGCCUUUCCUGUCUUUGCCUGUGCUGCGGCCACCAUACAGCAGGUUCCACAGUUUUGGGGAAUUUAUCAAGCAUGGCUCCUAGUAAAGGAAGCGGGAAUGCCUUGUCCAGUGCCAAAACUUUCUCCAUGGCUUCCUCAACAUCGUUACUAGUAGGAGUGCCACAAGAGAGUGUUCUUUGAAUCUGGCCAUGAAGCUGCUUAAACAGCCUCGCAGCAUUGCGCUGUUCUUCGACGAGUUGAGAUGGCUGUAUCUUAUUCAUCACCACCAACAUCCCAGUGGCUGCCAAAUACAUCAGAGUUGAAGAGAGCUUCAGGGCCACAAGGGGUCCUCCUACACUUGUAGCAGCAAUUCCAGCCAUGGUUGCAGCAGUGAGUGUGAUUGCAUUAAUGGAUGUCAAAAGAAGAUGGUUCCAAUUAUCACGCUGCUCCCCGAUAUUCUUGUGCAUCUCCACUCUAUCUGCAACAGCCUCCAUGAUUUCAUGGAGCUUAGCAAUCACCAUAGGAUCAGAAACAUUGCUCACAGAAGGCAAAGUAGUAUUAGGUCUGGACUCGUAUUUCUUCUCUACAUGGCUGGUGGUUGCAGCUGUGAGACCAACUCCCAUGUCCAGUACUUCCUGUACCAGAUCUCUAGCGGGGAGCUUCAGAGAUAGGCCGCCAGUCCGGAGCUUAGGCAUAUUGAUAGUAGCUCUUAUCAUUCCUCUCCGGCAACAAGAUAAGGAAUGAGGCAAUGAACCAAUAACGCCUGAAGAUUGAAGACUUGCCAUGUCCUCUCCUCGUACGAUCUGUAUGAGUUUCUUCUGGUUGCUAAGAUUGGGUUAUUCUAAUGGACGGGUAUUGAAUGGCUUAGGCUUGAAGAAGUGUAGUGAAAUGGGGUGGAGAUGCAACCUGGAUUAUAUAUAGGGAAUGGGAGUGGACCAAGUAUGCUGUUCAACGUUUGAAUGGGAUCAUGGGUCUUGAUUUAGACUGUUUCUCGUCUUCGGUUUAUUGGGGGUUUCACCCUUCAAUUAGGCUGCUUAUAAGCCAGGGCAUUCAAGCAGUCCUCCAUUGACUUUCAACCUGAAAAAACCAGUAAAACCAAGGAAUUGGCAAAGACAUUACAAGUAUAUAUAUUUUAAUUAACUGUACAAAAUCCGAAUGAUUAUGAACAAUUCCCACAGCUCAUUUAUGACUUUUUAGAGAUAUUUGUCAAAUGGAUUGAGGUAAUAUAUGACCAAGAAUUUAAAUUCAAAUUCGUGGUAAUAGCACUAAUGGGUCAUGACCACAAACAAUAAAAUCAAUCUUUAAUUUGCUUCUCCAAUAUUUCUGGGUUUCAAACCUGUAGCCAUGGACACCACCUUUUUUUUUUUUUUUUUUCUUUGUUUCCCCUCUUCUUCUUUUUUUUUUUUUUUUUUUUUUGUGACUAAAUUGUUGCAAAAUUUAAUGAGAAAUUUAAAUACUUUGCACUGAAACCUCUUGUGCCUUGCUUAUCACAAUGAUAACACUUAAAUUACCUAAUCUUUCUUGUUGCCUUUCUAUUUAGUUUUUCUUAAUCCAUAUUCUUUAGUUACUUUGUGACUAUCACCUAAAAUAGUAUUUUCCCAAUCAAAAUAACAAAAUGAAUCCUCCACUCGUGAUUUCUAUGUUUGAGUGAGUGGGUAUAUGAGAGAAAGAGAGUCCAAUGGUAAGAAAUUAAUAUGUGAAAUUGAAAAUAAUUAAAAAAUUUACCUAUUUCAAGUGCUCAAUUCUUACCUGAAUGCAUGAGGGCUUUUAGAUUUUCACCAAAAAAAUAUGAGAAAACUCAUAUACCUAGGAUUAUAAUGUUAAGAGGUUUAUAAUUUAUCGAAAAAAAUAAAAAUUAUAAUAAACAAUUGAUCAAUCAUCAUGUAGACAGUCAAACUGUAAACAAAUUUAACAACAUUUAUAUCGCUAUAUAUUGAAAUCGUGCAAUCAAUCCACAAAUUGACCAAAAAUACUUACUCCAUCACAUCUAAUGGUUUGAUGAUAUUUAAUAUUUAAAUUUUGGGAACCAAACAUAUUCUAAGAAAUGCCUUUUUUUUUUUUAACUAGAUCCAUCAUCCUCGGCUGUUGCCAAACAAUACUAAAAUUAGAUCUCCUUUUGGGCAUUUCAAUUAUAUAUUUGAACAAUGCAAAGGGGUGAUAAUAUAAUUAUGUUACCAGUUCUUCACUUUUGAGUAAAUAAAUGGGAAUGGUGAGGACAAAGGGAUAAUGUCUGCACAUCGACAAGCCACCCCACAAUUUCUUCUCUUUUGGUCAUAUUCUUGAUUGCAUUUUCGCCAAAGUUCACAUCACAUAAAUUUAAAAUUAAUUAAAUGAAAGGUAAUCAUAGAAAAUGUAGCCAUAAUUACGACCUUAAUGCCUCUUGGAGUCUAUUUAAUGGAAUGACAACUAUCUACUGUAAAAAGAAUCAUUUGGUAGCAAACAUAUUCGUUGACUUUGGCUCCUAUGAUAAAAGUCAGUGUCUCCUCGACACACUGUCUUAUUUCAAUAGAGUUCAAACAAGGAAUGAUAAUUUUGAACUUUUCCAUGUGUGGAUCAUUAAUUACGUGGUUUGUCUUCUUCCAAUGACUUUUAUGCAUAUUAUGGAUUCUAAUAGCCAUCCAACCCCAUAAGAAAAUGAAAAUUUCAACCUCAGGAGCCGCAUUUUCUUAGUUGUCAUUUGGAUUAUCAUGCUUUCUUGCACUAGAAAGAAAACCAAAGAAACUUAGAUGAUAAAGAAAAUCGAUAAAUUAUCACAGUGACCCGGAAAAUGCAUCAGUUUUAGUUGAAUUCAUAAUUUCUUAAUUUUCAGUUUUGGUGAGCAGAUGUGUUCAAAUUGCUGUAUAGAAAAUGGACUAAUUCAAUUUCCAUGGAAUAUUCAGACCUUUUAGCAGUCUGAUUUCAAUUGACUGAAUGAAUACAUGAAUUACUAGAUUGUACAGCCCUAUUGUGUUUAUAGACAAGGUUAGCUUACAAUGAUAUACAAGAUUUAGUGUAUUAUCAACAAAACUGAGGAUGAACCACCACGAUAUUAGAAGAGCUUGCUUGCGAACUCUUCAAUGGCCUCUCCUUUUUUAGAAGAAGAACAAGAGGAUGCUGCCAGACUCUUGAGCCCGGACAAGCUUCUUCCUAGCUGUAGAGCCACCUUCGUUUCAAACAAUUCCCCGUUCUCUCUUCUCCCCACAUCUCUUUCAUUCAGAUUUGACUCUAUGCUCUCUUCCAUCAUCCGGAAGAAGCCUGCGUUGCUUCUAUACAUCUCAAACACCAUGCCCACUUGCCCGCCAUGCUCCAUUGUGUUCACCACGCUUGCCAUGGCUCCAGCUACGACUCCUAGUGUGGCGGCCCAGGGACCGUGAGAAGAUCCCACGAACGCAGUUCCACAAGCCGCUAAGCCUGUCAAUA